rnacentral:rRNA from 1 species
AUUGAACGCUGGCGGCAGGCCUAACACAUGCAAGUCGAACGGUAACAGGAAGAAGCUUGCUUCUUUGCUGACGAGUGGCGGACGGGUGAGUAAUGUCUGGGAAACUGCCUGAUGGAGGGGGAUAACUACUGGAAACGGUAGCUAAUACCGCAUAACGUCGCAAGACCAAAGAGGGGGACCUUCGGGCCUCUGGCCAUCGGACGUGCCCAGAUGGGAUUAGCUUGUUGGUGGGGUAACGGCUCACCAAGGCGACGAUCCCUAGCUGGUCUGAGAGGAUGACCAGCCACACUGGAACUGAGACACGGUCCAGACUCCUACGGGAGGCAGCAGUGGGGAAUAUUGCACAAUGGGCGCAAGCCUGAUGCAGCCAUGCCGCGUGUAUGAAGAAGGCCUUCGGGUUGUAAAGUACUUUCAGCGGGGAGGAAGGGAGUAAAGUUAAUACCUUUGCUCAUUGACGUUACCCGCAGAAGAAGCACCGGCUAACUCCGUG